GAUUCCGGUAGGGGGCGCCGGUCCGCUUCGGUGUGCACUGGCGGCCCAUACCUUCUUGUCCGGGAUACCUUUUUUUCUGGUAUUUGUUUACCGGACGUAGAGUCGGCGCUGUUACUUUGAAAAAAUUAGAGUGUUCAAAGCAGGCUUUCGCUCCAAUACAUUAGCAUGGAAUAACAUGAUAGGACUCCGGUUCCAUUGUGUUGGUCUUCGGGACUGGAGUAAUGACUAAGAGGGACAGUUGGGGGCAUUCGUAUUUCAUUGUCAGAGGUGAAAUUCUUGGAUUUAUGAAAGACGAACUUCUGCGAAAGCAUUUGCCAAGGAUGUUUUCAUUAAUCAAGAACGAAAGUUGGGGGCUCGAAGAUGAUUAGAUACCAUCGUAGUCUCAACCAUAACCGAUGCCGACUAGGGAUUGGCGGAUGUUACUUGAUGACUUCGCCAGCACCUUGUGAGAAAUCAAAGUCUUUGGGUUCCGGGGGGAGUAUGGUCGCAAGGCUGAAACUUAAGGGAAUUGACGGAAGGGCACCACCAUGGUGUGGAGCCUGCGGCUUAAUUUGACUCAACACGGGGAAACUUACCAGGUCCGGACACAAUAAUGAUUGACAGAUUGAUAGCUCUUUCUUGAUUCUGUGGGUGGUGGUGCAUGGCCGUUCUUAGUUGGUGGAUUGAUUUGUCUGGUUAAUUCCGUUAACGAACGAGACCUCAGCCUGGCUAAAUAGUUCCGCGAACCUUGGUUCGAGGAGGACUUCUUAGAGGGACUAUGGAUGUUUAAUCCAUGGAAGUUUGAGGCAAUAACAGGUUC
rnacentral:rRNA from 1 species